GAUGAACGCUGGCGGCGUGCCUAAUACAUGUAAGUCGAGCGAACGGACGAGAAGCUUGCUUCUCUGAUGUUAGCGGCGGACGGGUGAGUAACACGUGGAUAACCUACCUAUAAGACUGGGAUAACUUCGGGAAACCGGAGCUAAUACCGGAUGAUAUUUUGAACCGCAUGGUUCAAAAGUGAAAGACGGUCUUGCUGUCACUUAUAGAUGGAUCCGCGCUGCAUUAGCUAGUUGGUAAGGUAACGGCUUACCAAGGCAACGAUGCAUAGCCGACCUGAGAGGGUGAUCGGCCACACUGGAACUGAGACACGGUCCAGACUCCUACGGGAGGCAGCAGUAGGGAAUCUUCCGCAAUGGGCGAAAGCCUGACGGAGCAACGCCGCGUGAGUGAUGAAGGUCUUCGGAUCGUAAAACUCUGUUAUUAGGGAAGAGCAUAUGUGUAAGUAACUGUGCACAUCUUGACGGUACCUAAUCAGAAAGCCACGGCUAACUACGUG
rnacentral:rRNA from 1 species